UGGGGAAUAUUGGACAAUGGGCGAAAGCCUGAUCCAGCCAUGCCGCGUGUGUGAAGAAGGUCUUCGGAUUGUAAAGCACUUUAAGUUGGGAGGAAGGGCAGUAAGUUAAUACCUUGCUGUUUUGACGUUACCAACAGAAUAAGCACCGGCUAACUUCGUGCCAGCAGCCGCGGUAAUACGAAGGGUGCAAGCGUUAAUCGGAAUUACUGGGCGUAAAGCGCGCGUAGGUGGUUCAGCAAGUUGGAUGUGAAAUCCCCGGGCUCAACCUGGGAACUGCAUCCAAAACUACUGAGCUAGAGUACGGUAGAGGGUGGUGGAAUUUCCUGUGUAGCGGUGAAAUGCGUAGAUAUAGGAAGGAACACCAGUGGCGAAGGCGACCACCUGGACUGAUACUGACACUGAGGUGCGAAAAGCGUGGGGAGCAAACAGGAUUAGAUACCCUGGUAGUCCACGCCGUAAACGAUGUCGACUAGCCGUUGGGAUCCUUGAGAUCUUAGUGGCGCAGCUAACGCGAUAAGUCGACCGCCUGGGGAGUACGGCCGCAAGGUUAAAACUUAAAUGAAUUGACGGGGGUCAUAGCUGUUUCCUG
rnacentral:rRNA from 1 species